rnacentral:rRNA from 1 species
CAAUAGCGUAUAUUUAAGUUGUUGCAGUUAAAAAGCUCGUAGUUGGAUUUCGGAUGGGAUUUGCCGGUCCGUCGUUACGAUGUGCACUGGCCAGUCCUAUCUUGUUGUCGGGGACUAGCUCCUUGGAUUCACUUCCUGGGACUAGGAGCUGACGAGGUUACUUUGAGUAAAUUAGAGUGUUCAAAGCAAGCCUACGCUCUGAAUACAUUAGCAUGGAAUAACACGAUAGGACUCUGGCUUAUCUUGUUGGUCUGUGAGACCAGAGUAAUGAUUAAGAGGGACAGUCGGGGACAUUCGUAUUUCAUUGUCAGAGGUGAAAUUCUUGGAUUUGUGAAAGACGAACUUCUGCGAAAGCAUUUGUCAAGGAUGUUUUCAUUAA